GCAAGUCUAACUGGCAAUUUCUUCGAAGUUGCCUCUUUCACUCUCCCUCUUCCAUUCCACAUCAAACUUAUUUCUUUUCCCUAUUUCAACCUUCCGUCGCCAUUAAAUCAACAUAUGAUUUUCAUUUUAAAUUAUUUUAAUAUUUUUUUCUCACUGCUGUUCAUGAUUCCCACAAGAUCGAAUUCAACUUGUUUAUUCCCUUCUUUCUUAUAGAAUUUAGCGCCGCAUCCAUUAAUCUCAUCACCAAACCCUCUUUUAACCUUUUUCAUGUUUUUACCUGUUCUUGCUUUUCUCAUACCCAUAUUUCUCAUUUUUGUUGUUUUCCUUUUUACUGGAUGGAUGAAACUUGCCUCCCACUAUGGAUAAGAACACUUCACUGGCAAACAAGCCGACCCUCUUUUCAUUUUUAGUUUACCAUUCUUGAAUUCUCUCCUUCCUCUUCUUUUUAUAUUUUUCUGUUGGGUAUUGCUUAGAUAUGGAUUUUUAGUCCCUCUUCCGCGAAACCUUAGCUUUAAGAACAAUGGCUAAGGCAUUGUUGUUGGUUAUUUUCAUCUGGGUACUUCUUAUCGGUUUUGUUUCCUGCCAAAGGCCUAAAUUUGUCAAUAUUGGUGCAGUUUUUACUUUUGAUUCGGUUAUUGGUAGAGCUGCAAGGCCAGCAAUAGAGGCUGCAGUGUCUGAUAUUAAUAGGGAUACAAGAAUUCUCAAUGGGACAGAGCUGAGGCUGUUUACGCAAGAUGCUAAGUGUAAUGUCUUCUUGGGUUCUAUUGGAGCUUUUCAGAUACUUGAGAAACAAGUAGUGGCCAUAAUUGGUCCGCAAUCCUCUGGAAUAGCUCAUAUGAUUUCUGAAAUUGCAAAUGGUCUCCAAGUGCCCCUUGUUUCAUAUGCUGCUACUGAUCCCACUCUAUCUGCCCUUCAGUUCCCCUUUUUUCUGAGAACCACACAAAGUGACUCGAAUCAGAUGGCUGCCAUGGCUGAUUUGAUUGAUUUUUAUGGUUGGAAACAGGUCAUUGCAAUAUAUGUGGAUGAUGAUCAUGGGAGGAAUGGAAUUACAGCAUUAGGAGACAAGCUUGCUGAGAGACGUUGCAAGAUCUCAUAUAAAGCUCCUUUCAGUCCCAAUAUGGACCAGCCCAAUGAGAUAUCAGAUGUAUUGUACGAGGUAGCCUUAAUGGAGUCUAGGAUUAUUGUUCUUCAUGCUUACCCAGAUACGGGUCUGGAGGUGCUUAAAGAGGCUAGGCAUCUAAGGAUGAUGGGAGCUGGGUAUGUGUGGAUAGUUACUGAUUGGCUUUCUACCAAAAUAGACACUUAUUCUCCCCACCUUACAGAAGCCAUGGAUGAUAUUCAAGGAGUUAUUACUUUGAGAAUGUAUGCACCAGAUUCACAACAAAAAACCAAAUUUGCUUUUGGGUGGAGCAAUUUGACUAGCAGAAAUGCAACUGGUGGCGCUUUUGGGUUAAAUACUUAUGGUCUAUAUGCUUAUGACACUGUCUGGCUGCUUGCUUAUGCAAUUGAUGCAUUUUUAAAUCAGAAGGGAAACCUUUCAUUUUCAUAUCAUCCGGGGUUAUCAGAACUACAGAGAGAGAACCUACAUGCAGAUGCUUUUAAAAUCUUUAGAGAAGGAAAUUGGUUGCUUCACAGCAUUUCACAGGUUAAUUUCACUGGUUUAACAGGCUCAAUCUACUUUUCUGAUGGGAACCUCGUUCAUCCUGCAUAUGAAGUGAUCAAUGUGAUUGAGACAGGAUUUAAGAGGGUUGGGUAUUGGUCUAAUUAUUCAGGGUUAUCAGUAGAACCUCCAGAAAAGCUUUAUACAAAACCACCUAGUAAUUCAAGUCAACAGCUAAGCAGUGUAAUCUGGCCUGGACAAACAGUACAAGGCAAGCGUUUGAGAAUUGGUGUCCCAAAUCGAGUCUUUUAUCACGAGUUUGUCUCAGUACAAGGCACUAAUGUGUUCAGUGGCUACUGCGUUGAUGUGUUUACCGCUGCCAUGAAAUUACUGCCUUAUGUUGUGCCAUAUGACUUUGAAGCAUUUGGGGACGGUCAUAGUAACCCAAAUACCACUGAGCUUCUGCGAUUGAUCUCAGUGGGUAGGUAUGAUGCAGCAAUAGGUGACAUUUCCAUCACGACUGAUCGAGCAAGGAUGGUGGAUUUCACACAGCCAUUUAUAGAGUCUGGCCUAGUCGUAGUGGCCCCAGUCAGGAAGUUAAACUCUAGCGCUUGGGCAUUCCUGAGGCCAUUCACUCCAAUGAUGUGGCUUGUAACAGCAAUUUUCUUCCUUGUUACGGGUUUGGUGGUGUGGAUUUUGGAGCACAGGAUCAAUGGUGAUUUCCGAGGCCCUCCUAGAAGACAAAUUGUAACUAUUCUGUGGUAAGUGUCUAUUCAUUGAUGGUGUGCUAGUGCAGUUUAACUUGUGAAUAGUUCAUACCUCAUCUUUGCAUAUUAGCAUACAAUUAGUAGGUAGAUCAAUCAUGUUUUACCAUCUGAAGUUUCCAGACUCCACUCCUUUGUAAGUGAUUUUAAUUAAGUUUCAAACAUGCUCGAUAUCCAAAUAUUCCAGCAGCUAACAUUUGUGAACAUGUACUGCAGGUUUAGCUUUUCUACCUUGUUUUUUGCCCAUAGUAAGUGGCAUUGUUAAGUAGUCUUCUCUGGUUAUCAUAGGAACCAAGCUAAAAUUCACAGAUACUAAUGGAGCACUUCCUUUCCUGAUAUAUGCAGAAGAAAAGACGCUGAGCACCCUUGGUCGCCUGGUGCUAAUAAUCUGGCUCUUUGUAGUUCUUGUUCUCAAUUCAAGCUACAUUGCAAGUUUGACCUCAAUUCUCACAGUGGAACAACUCACUUCUUCUAUUAAAGGAAUUGAAAGUUUGGUAUCUAGCAAGGACCCUAUUGGCUACCAGCGAGGUUCAUUUGCAGGAAAUUACUUAAUCAAUGAAUACAAAAUAGAUAAGUCUAGGCUCAUUCCUCUCAACUCUGCGGAAGAUUGUGUUAAAGCCUUGCAAGAUGGUCCUCAGAAAGGUGGUGUUGCUGCUGUCAUUGAUGAAAGAGCAUACAUAGAACUCUUUCUCUCAUCUCAAUGUGAAUUCAGUAUUGUUGGUCAAGAAUUCAGCCAAAAUGGGUGGGGAUUUGUACGUGUAUCCAGUUUAUAGUGUAUCCUUAAAUCGUUCAACUAGGAACUCUUCCAAGAUAGAUUUUACAAGUUUUCUUGAAUUCCUUGUUAAGAUACAUUACUGUUUAUGUCACCUGAGGAAAACUCUAUACAUUCUUGCCUCAGAUUCAUAUGUCAAGCAUUUUAUAACCGGGUUCUUUAUGGUUUUCAAUUGUCAUCAGGCCUUUCCAAGAGAUUCUGCACUAGCACUAGGCAUGUCGACUGCGAUCCUGCAACUGUCAGAGGUUGGAGAACUGCAAAGAAUGCACGACAAAUGGCUUCUGGGCAGUGCUUGCAGAUCAGAAGGUGCAAAAGAAGAUGCAAACCGGCUUCAUCUUACAAGCUUUUGGGUCCUCUUUCUCAUUUGCGGUUUAGCCUUCGUACUAGCCCUCCUUUUAUAUAUAAUAAAGACUGUCAGAAAAUUUGCCAAGCACCGUUCAGAGGAACUCGAGGGGUCUUCAUCAAGAAGUUCACCAUCUGUACUUUUUCAGGCAUUUCUUUCAUUUCUUGAUAAAAUGGAAGAGGAUGUGAAAAGCAGGCCAAAGAGAAGGCGAACAGAUAGGAGAACCUCAAACAGAAUCAUAGAUGGAACCGGAUGUGCAUCAAGAAAUAGUGGUUCUUCCAAAAGUGCAAUUGCUGCCUUGGAAGUCUAAAUAUAUAUAUAUAUAGUUUCUAAAAGGUGAAGAAGAGAAAAGCAAUGUCAAUGAAGGAAGAUGGGGUUCUGUGACUUGUGUGAAAUCCACUUCUUUGUCAUUAAGAACAAUUAACCCCAGCAACACAACAGGGAAAAAAAAAAAAAUAAUUGCUCGCCUAGGUUUAGCGAUGUGGUCAUGUGGAGGAUGUAAUUUGACAUGAGACCCCACCAUUAAUAAAGGAAAGGACAGGAAUUUUCGCAGGUAUUCUCUGUAAUUCCAUUCAAAGCCACUAACAAGAUCAGCCAUUGUGAUUAGACCUGAACAACCCCAUCAACACUUAAAUAUUAAGUGAUAUCCUUAUACAAAUAAAA
rnacentral:misc_RNA from 1 species